ensembl:lncRNA
GCCUUGUUGGAGGAAGUGUGUCACUGGGGUGGGCUUUGAGGUCUCAGAUGCUCAAACCAGGCCCAGUGUCUCUCUUCCGGCUGCCUGCUGAUCCAGAUGAGAACUCUCAGCGCCUUCUCCAGCACCAUGUCUAUCUGUGUGCUGCGGUGUCCCGCCAUGAUGGCAACCGACUAAAUCUCUAAACUGUUCUGACAAAGUGAUAGGCAUUUCAGACCAAUGCAUGCACAAAGGCAUGUGAAUGCCAGAGUCAAAAGAAAUCUGGGCUAUGGAUAUAAGCAAUUUGCAGUUGUUUUUCGACAAAAGUGCAAGCCCUUGGGGACUCAUUGAUCUUGAUCCCAUAGACAUUUCUGCCUGGAGCAAAAUACUACACAGCAUUCCUCACAGCUGACAGCUGUGAACUUGAAGAACCGAAGCCCCUUCAUUGACACACAAGUUUAUUGGCCAGACAUGGCUUUGCUCCUGGCUGCUCCAGGAGAUGCUAAAAGGACAACACCCAGACAGCUCACCUUACUUCAUUGCUAAAGCCAGUAAGAUCUAUGCAGCUAGAUUGAUGAAAGCACACAUCUGGUAAGUUUGAGCUACCCAAGAAAGUCAUUCACUCACUGCGUCUUCUGUGGGUGCUUGAGUUGCAUGCAUGAGAAUUCAGUCACUUGUGCUCGGAUGGCUCCCUUUCGCUCUGACUCAUCCCCCACGCAAAUAGAAUGAAGCUGUGCACAUUUCUCCAUGGGGACGUGAGACACGAACUUGAGAGGUGAGAUUUUUAACCCUCUGGGAGGUUUGUAGGCUGUUAAUGCUAUGGAAAGAUCUGGUUCUGGUGCUGAGGCUCUUCUGUGUGCUAAUAGUUCUCAAUCUCCAAGCACACAUUGAAGAAACGAUGCGAGGAUUCGGGGUACUUCUCAAGGUGUGGUGAAGCACAGAGCCUGUUAGCAGCGUGGCUGAGGUAGAAUUUGCUUCCCUUUGUGAAUAGCAGAGCAACAGCAUUUACCUCAGAGGACUUUUAAUUUUUUUUUUUUUUCUGUAAGCCCAUGAGUUAGAGCGUGGCUGUCUCCCGAAGAAACUGAACUGUGACAAACCAGUAAAAUAGAGACCUGCAGAGGACAGCUUUAUCAAAACAGAGAUUAAGAGUGCUGGCUGCUCUUCCAGAGUCCUGAGUUCAAUUCCCAGCAACCACAUGGUGGCUCACAACCAUCCGUUAUAAGAUCUUCUGCCCUCUUCUGGUGUGCAGAUAUACAUGGAAGCAGAAUGUUGUAUACAUAAUAAAUAAAUAAAGUCUUAAAAAAAAAAGAAAGAAAGAAAAAGAAAAUGGCCGGUGGACCAUACCAGACCACAAGAGGACAGAGGGCAAGAGAGGAGCUGCCAAACAAGAGGCAGCCAGGGCCACAAGGCUGAGAGACUGGAGUAGCCAAAUGGCUGCCAUAUAGGGACCAGGCUGAGGAAAGGAAGUGGAAGCCUCUGGGAGGGCCACAGGUACUGAGUGACGCUGGGAGAGCUGGCCAGCGGCCAUGUUAACAUGUUAGUAGGCAUGCCAGUUAGCAAUUUGUUUCAGGCUCCUGAGACUAAGAUUGGGAACGUUCACUAUCUUGUAGGUGGUUGCUGGUGGUGACAGGUUGGCUCAUUAGGAAGGAGGCGGAUAGGUUUGCUACUUAGGAAAAGGUUUAGGACUGGGCAUGGGACUGUGAAGUGAAACUCUGGGGUGUUUGAGGUAGUCAAAUUCUUUGUUCCAAUGCGGAAGCAGUUUCACGAAGUUCCUACAGUUUUACAGAACAAAGACUAUCACAAGUUAAGGCAAGUGUGAAAUAUGUUGACGGGUACAUCACAGGGGCAGGUUCAGUGAAGUGGGGUGGGGAAACUCUUCUACUGGCCCAAUGUGCUAUCUGAGCUUUUUUUUUUGGGUUAGUGGAAGCUACCACUCUGCUUUGUUAAGACUCUAAAAAGACCUAACACCUGACUUUCUCAGGCACCAGGUACUCCUGUGGCACACACACAACGCAUGCAAGCGAUGAUGCGUGUUUUUCUGAAUAGUAAAAAAUUUAAAACAGGUCAGGCAUGGUGGCAGUCCCAGCUCUCCAGAAGCAGAGGCAAGGGGAAUCUCCAUCGGUUCCAGGCCAGCCUGACUAUAAAGUGAGACCCCAUCAAACAAACACCCAUCAAAAAACAAAGCAAAACAAAACAAAAAAACAAAAAAAAAAUGCAGACACCCUGAACCAAUUAACAGAACAAAGAAAAAUCAGUCAAAAAGGAGAAAGUUGUGUAGAGUGUACCUCGUUGUGAAAGCCAGGAAACAGAAGGAAGAAAAUAGAUACCUUGUCAGAGGGUAACACUGAGUAUUUGAAGAAAUUUGGAAAGUGAGAAAACCAGCAAAGUCAUUUGUUUGUCUGUUGGCUUGUUUUGUUUUUUUUUUCAAGACAGGGUUUCUCUGUGUAGCCCUGGCUGUCCUAGAACUUGCUCUGUUGACCAGGCUGGCCUUGAACUCAGAGAUCCGCCUGCCUCUGCCUCCUUGGUGUUGGAAUUUAAGGCUGUGUGCCACCAGUACCCAGCCAAAGUUGUUUUAAGUGGUUUCCAAGACCUGUUCCCUUAAGGUCACUGCACUGUCCUCCGCACACUCGUGGUGCUCGUGCAGGCAAGUAGGCACACAUACGAAAUAAAGUCAAUAUUUUUAAAACUACUUGGGAUCUGCAGUUGGUCAAAUCCCCAAACACAGACUCUGCAGAGGCAGAGGGCUGUCUGUACUUAGUCUUACUCCCAAACCUGCAAAUUAUCAAGAAGUAAAAUAGACCUCAUGAGAACAACUAGGGGUGUGACAAAGUGAUAGCCCACGGUUGGCAAUCUAACUUCACCAUUGAACCAAUUUGGGAGUUUGUAGUCACCCUCAGGCAGGCAUGGUCGAUAGUGUUAUGCUCUGAAUUUACUGCCAAAGGGAUGCAUGAAAAUUAUGGGGAUUAAAACAAUUUUAUUUCAUGAAGUUGGCUUAAAUUCCCAGAGAUCAUUUUGUAAGAUUGGCUUUUCUUCUCUUUCAAUAAAAUUUCCUUUCCAUGUGUGCCAGCACCCAUUAUGAUACAUGGAUGUAUUAAUCACUCAUGUGGAAUUUUAUAUUUUGGCCCAUUGCACAUUAUGUCUUGUCUGCCAACUGCACUCAAAGGUCAUGGCCCUGUGGAGAAGCACAAGCCAGCUGAACUUUCUGUUGUUGUUUCUUAAAAGUUUACCAGGCCACCUACUAAACUGACUCGGUUCAUCAACUAAAUGCCUAUAAAUUCAAGGAAGACUAACACAUUAAUUUAUGUCAGUCUCACACAGUGUGUCCCCAUUUGCUGCUUAGAAUGUGCUGGUGUUCCCAGAAGGGAUCAAAAGCAGAUGCCAGGGAAGGCCACACAGGGCAGGCAUCACACUAGCUGGAAGCAGCAUCUGCAAUCCUGGCAACCUGCUAUUGACAGCCUCGGGCCAAAUGCUUCGUCUGACUCCAACUUCAUCACCAAUGAAAGGAACCUCAGGAGAUAAUGAACAGGCUUUGCGUGUGAAUCAGAUUGAGGUCAGACAUGUGGAAGCAUGUUUCCAAGGUAGGCUAGAGACAUACUAAAACCCUCCGAAAAUCUUGCCUGUCGGUGGCCACUCCCGUCCUCUGUCCGUAUCCACCUCUACCACCAUCUACAUAUUUAAUACACCAGCCAAGCUUGUUUGCUUUCACUACAUACGGUCUCCAUCUUCCAACCUGCCGCUUGUCUCAGCUUUCCCAAGCGCUAGGAUUGCAAGUGUGAGCCAACAACCAGGUCUCCAGUUAACACAACAGUUGUAAAAAAUCCAGGGAAUUCUUCAUUAUGUUCUAAUGGUGAUGGGGGAAUCUGGCACCUUGUUUGUGGUAGGACAAUUGGCUCAUCCCUGUUGGAAGGGCAGAUUAUUUUUUGACUUGAAAAUUCUACACCUAGAUGUACAAAUAUAUUUGUGAAUGAGCUAGAAGAUUCAAACAUACAUUAUGUUAACAAAACAAGACCACCAAAUGGGCAAGUAUAUUCUGGUAUAUCCACAGAGUGGAAUACUGUGCUACAGUGAAAAGAAUGGAACAAAAUUAUUCACUACAGAUAAAAGGAAAUUCCAUAGACAUAUUAUUAAAUUGUAAAAGCAGUAUGUGGAGAACAUACAUAGUAUGAUAUAUAUAUAUAUAUAUAUAUAUAAUAUAUGAUUUGUGUACACAUACAUAUCAUAUAUUUUGGUGCUGGGAAGGAAUCAGGGCCCUGUGAGUGCUAGGCUAGGGCUCUACAACUGAGCUACAUCCCAACUCCAGAGAUCUCAUUCUUCACUAGUAAGCAUGGCUUGUUUAUUGUGUUAGUCACAACACAUUUGCUUCCUACAAAACAAUCCUAAAGGAUGCUUCAUUUCCAUUUUAAAACCAACGCACAAUCAAUCUGACAGUAACUAUAGGAAAUAAAAAUAGAAAUGCUGUAAAUCCUUAGGUACUAUUAACAAAGUCAUAAUGCUGUUUCUGAUUUUAUGAUCAAUGAUUCACAAAAAAUUAAAACUAGUAUUUUAACCAUUUGAAUAACAGUUGGGAAAUAAUCAAUACUGUGUUACAAACGUGGUACACGUUAUCUUUUGAUGUCUAUAGUCUUAACCCUCACAAACUAAUGAAAUUACAUUUUAACAAAACCAUUUUAGUUCAGGGUUGUGGGUUUAACUGUUUUUCUCAUGAAGAUAUGCUGAAGUCAUUCUUAGGCUACAGUAGCACUGUGACCCUCCCUAAAUUGAUUUGUGAUCCCCCCCCCCAUGCUUUAGAAUGUGAUCUUACUUAAAAAUGUGACUCUUAGCCAGGUGGUGGUGGUGCAUGUCUUCAAUCCCAGCACUCAGGAGGCAGAGGCAAACGGAUCUCUGAGUUUGAGACCAGCUUGGUCUACAAGAGCUAGUUGCAGGACAGGCUCCAAAGCUACACAGAAAAACCCUGUCUCAAACAAACAAACAAACAAACAAACAAACAAAAACAAAACCCACCACCACCACCACCACCAAAAACAAAAAAUGAAAAACAAAACAAAAACUAACUCUUUAUAGAGGUGAUCAAAUUAAAAUGAGGUCAUUACGGUGGCCCUAAGAGAGUUUGUAUGUGUGUAGGGAUGUGUGUGCACACGUGUGAUAGACCCAGAAAAGAGAUCAUGAGAGGAAGGAGAUCUUAAGUGGGGAUAAUAGAAUGCAAGUAUUAACAACACAGAAGAGGUGACUAUCCGGGAGAAGGGAUGGAACCAGCCAGAGGGGUUGGGUUUUAUAGAGAGGGAGUGUACAGGAGGCUCAAGAGAAAGGCACCGCCAUGGCUAAUCUUGGUUGUCAACUUGGUAUACUUGAGAAGAGGGAACCCCUACUGAGGAAUGGCCUCCAGCGGUUUGGCAUUUCCUCAACUAUUUAUUGACAGAGGAGGCCCCAGCCCACUGUGGGCAGUGCCAUUCCUAGGCAGAUAGGCUGUACAAGAAAGGCAGCUACAUACAAGGUAGGAAGAAAGCCAGUAAGCAAUAUUCCUAAAUGAUUUCUGUUCCAAGCUCCUGCCUUGAUUUCCAGCCUUGGCGUCCAUUAAUGAUAGACUACAACCUGUAAGAAAAAACAAAUAAACAAAAAGCUCACUUUCCUCCCACAAGCUAGGUCUGGCUGGUGUUUUAUCACAGGAAGCAAACCACAACAGGCAUUAAGUGGGAUGGUCCUUCAGACAAGGGACUUACCAGCACAAUAGCAGGCGGUACAGCAUGGAGCCUGAAGUAGUUUCAGUCCAGCUAGAUAGAGAAAGAUGUCCGUCUGCUUUCAAAGGUUUCUGAAGGAAUGCAGAGGCCUUGCACUAUCAGGAUGCUGGCCUAGAUAUACCAGAUGGUGGCAGUGGGGGAGGGGGGACACACGGCCUAGGCCACUUGAGAAGAUGUACUCUUUCUUUGGGUAUGUCUUUGAGUGGGGCUUGGUUAAUGUGUGGCCUCUGAGAGUUGACCACAGUCAACUGCCUGGGACCCCAGGCAGCAAAAGGGAUGGGUGUGUGAUGUGGUCCUGCCACAGCCCAACCCUGAGACGGAGAAGGGCCGUUGUCGUAAAGAAAUUAAUCUGUCACCAGAUGAGUUUCAUACAAGUGGCCAGCCACAAAUAGCUCCAGCCAUGUUCAUUUAUACAUCAAAAUCAAACAUAUUUUCUUCCCACAUUAACCAACAAGUUUUUCCCAUCCUCCAAGGUUAACCUCCAGCAAAGAUAAAUACAUCAAAUAUAUUUUCCCCCAACUUUUAUAUCAACACAUUUUUAAACCAAAACCAACACUUACCAUUUCACUAGCCUGGCCAGGUACAUCCUGUCUUUACAAAAUUAAAAGGUGAUAAACAUAGGCACACAGUUUCAAAAACAACAAUCUCUUUCAAAAUGCACUUACAGAAAUGGGGUGAUCUUUUUUAUAAAAUUUUAUUUAAAUUAAAAACAAUCUUAUUUUACAUACUAAUUCCAGUUCCCUCUCCCUUCUGACCUCUCAUUUCCCCCACCAAGGCCCCUUCCCACCCCCAAUCCACUCCUCAGGGAGGGUGAGGCCUCCCAUGAGAGAUAUCAAAGUCUAUCACAUCAUUUGGGGCAGGGCCUAGGCCCUCCCCUGUGUAUCUAGGUUGAGCUAGUAUCCCUCCAUGAGAAAUGGGCUCCAAAGCCCAUUUUUGCACUAGGAAUAAAUACUGAUUCCACUGCCAGAGGCCCCAUAGACUUCCCAAGUCCCCAACUGACACCCACAUUCAGGGGGCCUGGUUUGGUCCUCUGCUGGUUCCCCAGCUGUCAGGCUGGGGUGGUGAUCGUCCCCUUGCUCAGGUCAGCUGUCUCUGUGUUUCCCCAGCCUGGUCUUGAACCCUUUGGUGAUCUGCUUCUGUUUCUGUCAGCACUGAAUCAGAACAGCUCCUGGGGUCUGAAGGGUCAACUGGCAUCCUCAGACAAGAAACCUGAGAAGCAUCAGCUCCCACAGAGUUUUAGGGGGAGAAAGAAAUGGGGUUUCCAGGACAGAUCACAUCUGUCCCAUGAAUGGUUGACAAAAUGACACUAAAACUGACAAGAAAAACAUUCAUAUCACAAGAGAGAAGAGAGUGUGCAGGCCAGCGAAACGACUCAGAGUGAAAAAGCUUGCCAAGGAAGCAUGCCUGCUGACCAGAGUUCAGGCCCCAGAACCCACACAAAGGUGCAAGGAGAGCACCAGCCCCACAGAGUUGUCCUCUGCCAGCCACAGGUGUGCCGUGACAUGCUUGCCCCCCAUAAUAUUUAAAAAUUUAUCUAUAAUGCAAUUUUUUAUUGCUUUUACCCCAAUUGUCACAAGUAAAUGAUCUCUUCUUGUAAGAUACCAGGAACGUGUAGACUCCUAUAAUCUCUGCUUUUUUUUCCUUCAAGUUUCUUUUAUUUUAUGUACAUGAGUAUUUUGCCUGCAUGGAUGUCUGUGUACCACGUCUGUGCCUGGUUCCCAUGGAGGUCAGAAGAGGGUGUCAGAUACCCUGGAGCUGGAGUUACAGAUGGCCGUGAUGCCAUAUGGGUGCUGGGAAUUGAACCUGAAAGGGCAGCCCGUGUUCUUAAGUGACGAACCAUCUCUCCAGUAUCAGGGUCUGUGACAGCAUGUUAGUUCCUGGCAAAAUAGACCUUCCUGGAGGAGGAAAAUCAAGCAAGGCAAAGUUAUUUGUGACUUCUUAGGCAUGUUGCAAGCCACCUUGGUGAGAAAGUGGGAUAGAGGGUGAUGGAAGGCCAGCCUACUUGCCCAAGGAAGACUUUGAAAUGUAAGAUCACUUCCACUUUGAGGUCAGAGCGUGACCACAGACCAAGCCGACAACAGCGUUUUAAUGAAACCACACAGACCAGCCAUCUGGGGUUGCUUUGGCCCAAAGUGCUUACAUCAGAUAACAGUUUUCUGAGACACAAAAUGUGACCAGAACCUACCCAAGAUGACUGUUCAAUUGAUAGACACAGCAAGGAUUAAUGAAAGCCACUUAGGCUAAUAAGUAACAGGCAUUGGGGGCACGAUUUAUCUUUCUUCCUGGUAGUUCAAAUGGACUUUGGAGUUGUUCAGUGCACAAAAGGGAUAUGUUUCCUUACAUAUUUUAAAUCUAUUUUUUAUGUAUUUAUUUAGGAACAGGGUCUUACUGCAAGAAUUCAAGCAUUAUGGUGGCCUGCCCCUGUCACCUGGCAGAAUGUACUCAGGCAGUACCCUGGUCAGCCAAGGUGCAAAGGACCCCUAUAAAAGAAAGACAACCCCCCCUCACACACACUUAUGCUCUCUUUUCUUGCUCUUUUUCCUGCUGUUUUCCUGGGACAGGACUUUGCCUGUUUCCCUCAUCUCUUCUGUCCUCUCUCUCUCUCUCUCUCUCUCUCUCUCUCUCUCUCUCUCUCUCUCUCUCUCUUCUCUCUGUGUGUGUGUGUGUGUGUGUGUGUGUGUGUCUUUCCUCCCUCCCCCUUCCCUGUCUAAUAAAACUUCUCACUUAAGCUCUGUCUGCCUGGCGUGUUUGUCCCUCUGCCUUGAUCACCCUUACCUGCCAUGGAAUCCAAGGUCCCCCAUGCACAUAAAAUCAUAACACUUACUCAGUAGCCCAGGCUAAGUCACCUUGCUAUCCUCUUGCCAUAGUCUUCCAAGGGCUGGGACUAUGCAUGUCACCAUGCCUGGCUCUCCUGUAUUUUAAUUAUAAGUGAUCCUCUGAGUAGAAUAUAAUACAUCCUUGAAUUAAUUUGUUUUUAUUUCCUGUAGUGACUGAAGAGAUUACAGCCCACUGACAUGCCUCUCUUGAAGAGGUGGGUCUCUCCCUGCUCCAUACUUUGUCAUGUAGUCAUGAGAGCUGGGAAGAUGGCUCAGCAGGUAAAACCCUUGAUGCUCUAGAGCAGAGACUGGAUUCCAGAUCUCAUGAGCCCAGGUAGAUAAUGAAGACCGGUAUGUGUGCAGAGGCCCACCCGGAACUCCAGAACUCGAAAGGCAGUGACAGGAAGGGUGUCCUUGGAGGAAGCUUGAUAGCUAGACUAGCCUUGUAAGUGGUUGCCCACAUAUAAUGCAGUAUUGCUGAGAAGUAUGAGUUCUGAACACCUGUGACUGAGCUCCAAACAGCAGCUCAGUAUGACUUUUACCUACAGCACCAGGUUCUCACCUGGCACACAGAAACUACUUAGUAACUGUAUCUGACACCCGAGGAGUCCUGCCUGUGGUGAGCUCUCUGACAAGGUGGCUCCCUCUCUUCCAUGAGUCUUUGACACUGGUGUGGUCACAUCUUUGGAUCCAUCCUGCUGACCUCAUGCUGUGCCUUUCUUCUGUGUCUGCUCUGGGCUUGCUUCCAGGCUUUUGUACCACAUUCCAGAUGGCUUUGUGCCUUCGUUAUGGGUCUGGCUCAGGCAGGUUUGCUGACACUGGUGAGCUGUGUGGCUCUCUUCAAUCUCCCUUCCAAGCCUGGUGUUCCUUCCAGGCAAUGCGAAGGGCGGGAUGGCCAGUGGGAUGGGCUUCUCCAGUCAGCGGCCCCUGUAUUAAUUCCUAGACCACUGAAAUGUUUCCCUUCUCUGGCACCCUCCAAUAACUUGUUUUUUCCACAGCUUCUGAAACAGCACCAUGCCUAGGUCAUCUUAAUUUAUCCAUUGAUUUUUUUCCAGUUCACAUAAAUUAAGGAACCCAGAAAUUGAGGCCUAUAUUAGUUUCCUCUCUCCAUCCCUUAUUUCCUUUUUCCUCCUUCCCUCCCUCCCUCCCUCCCUCCCUUCUUCUACUCUUCCUUCUUUUGAUAGGAUCUCAAGGAACCCAGGCUAGCCUUGAACUCACAAUCACAGUUAAAGAUACCAUUGACCUUCUAAUCCUCCGGCCUCUACCUGCUAGGAUCACAGGUGUUUGUACCAUGCCCAGAUUAGUUCAUAUUGUAUGUCACACAUCAUCACAAACCAAAUCUUGAAACAGCAUAGGUCUAUUAUGGCCCGGAUUCCGUGGGUCUGAAUGUCAGCACCACUUAACCGGCCCUUGUCUACAACCCUACCAGGCUGAAAUUGAGAUGCUGGCCAGCAUAGCCAGGGAAGAUGGAGGUUUCUGUCCCGCCAGGUCCUGCUGCCCUUCAGCCCCAAAUGAACACACAGAGACAUAUUAAUUAUGAAACUGUUGGCCGACGGCUAGGGCUUCUAUUGGCUAACUCUGUCUUAAUUAUUAACCCAUUUCUAUAAGUCUAUGUGUUUCCAUGUGGUCUUGGCUUACGGGAGAAUGCCCGGACCUGCUACUCCUUUGCUGGCUACAUGGCGUCUCCUUGUGAUCGCCUUCUGCUUAUCUUUCCCAGAAUUCUCCUCGUCUCCUAGCCCCGCCUAUCUUUCUACCUCCACUGGUCAAACAGUGUUUUAUUCAUCAACCAAUAAGAGAAACAUAUACACAAAAGGACGUCCACCGUCAGCAGAGUCAUAUGAGGCUUGACUGAGAAAGAUCUACUCCCGGGCCUGCACGGGCUGUUACAAACUUCGUCUCCUUACCCAGACCUGCUUCUGUAGGACCAAGGCCCUACCCUUCUUGCUGGCUGUCAUGGUCACUGCUCUACUGUUGUGAGGAGACACCAUGACCAAGACAAGUCUAAUAAGAGAAAGCAUGGGGGGGGGGAGGGGCUGCUUACAGUUUCAAGGGAUUAGUCCAUGACCAUCAUGGUGGAGAGCAGACAGGUGUGAUACUGAGCAGUAAGUAGCUGAGAGCUUUGCCUGAUCCACAGGCAGCAGGCACAGAGAGGAAGACAGUGGGUCUGGGGUGGGCUUUGGAAACCUCAAAGCCUACCUCUAGUAACACACCUCCUCCAAUAAGACCACACCCCCUAGUCCUUUCCAAACAGUUCAUCAACUGAGGACUAAGCAUUGCAAAUAUAUGAGCCUGUAGAGGCCACACUUGUUAAAAUCAUAAUACUGGCUGUUGGUUAUGUGGUGCUUUGGGCCCCUUCAUAUAUCACCAGGAAGGAGAUGUUCCAGUCUCUGGAAGCCAAAACAGGGAAUCCCUAAAGCAAGCUGGCUAGUUAAACUAAGCCCAUGUCUUUGAGUUCUGGGUUCAACUGAGAGAGCCUGCCCCAGUGAAUAAAAUGGAGGGUGACCAAUGAAAACGAUCAAUAUGGCGUUCCUUCUAACCAGCACAGAAAAGACCAUUUCAUCAGACUAUGCAAGCCAGAUGGAAUCGUCACUCACUUAGAAAGAUGUAUGUGUGUCUAAGAAGCAGCAGGAAUGCUAUCCCAUGACUUCUGUCCUGUCCUAUUAUGUCAGUUCUAGUGCUGUGAAGAGACACCAUGACCAAUGCAACUCUUAUGAAAGAAAGCCUUUAACUAGGGGCUUGCCUGCAGCUUCAGAAGCAUGUAGACAGGCAUGGCACUGGAGCAGCAGCCGAGUGCUUCAUCGCGUUCCACAAGAAGUCACAGGUCCUGUCCAGGGGGAGCGGAGCACACAGGACUUAACACAAAUGCUGUUCAGGUUGAACCUCUGUCUCCAGACCCCACCUUCAGGAAACCCACCAAGCAGCGGCUCCUCCCCCUGAGAUGCUCAGGACCACGAAUAUAGGUUAAGACCUGGCUCCUAGACCUGCCAUGUGAUUUCUCUGCUGCCUCCGCUGUGAGUCACUGGGGAGUUGCUUUUCUCUGUUUAUUAAACCUGGUUUUAUUAAUUUUGCUGGAUUUGGCUUAUUGCAUCGGCAGAGAAACCCACAACUGGGAUUUUCAGAAAUACUUACCAAAUGUCACCUGAGGUCACAAAGAGUAAGGUACACUGGAACAAAGACCCUGGAGUUUUUCCUAUAAUCACUGUGGAUGCAUUGAAGACCAGCAUGGCACUGGACUGAUACCAAAAUGGAGGAAGGGUGUGAACUGGGAGAAAAUGCAGAUGGGUGUAGAGAAAGGCUGUAGAUGAAGAGCACCUGGCUAAGAGCCACCUGGUUGGUGGCUAGGAAGGAGGGCCAAGGAGCCUGGAGAGGUGGCAUCACACUCACCACAGACGGAAUGGUCCAGAUUUGAGAGCCAAGUCACCAUACGGGAGGGAAGAAAACAGUGGUGUCCCAGAGCUUUGUAACACCAGGGGCGCCACCAACAAAGAGCAGAAAAGCAUUCUGGAGAGAAGUUCCUGCACACUUCGCUCUUAAGGCUCUGGAGACACUAAAGGAGAGCACAGAUAAUGUGUAUUUGAAGGUAGGAGGUGGAUUCAAGGACACAGAGGUUGAUUUGUAAGACGAUAUUCACCUGGUUCUGUGACUCCAAGGACAUAGCCAGUGGCUGGGUUAUUCCAGGAGACAAUUCAUUGGAAUUUCAUCUUGGGAGUUAGGUACUUGAAGGGCAACAGUUAUGGGACCAGAUUAAGUCAGAGGGGGGGAAAGAGGAAGAGGAGCGGGCCGGGGGGGUGCAGGGGGGGAGACAGAGAGAGGAAGGACGCUUAGACAGGAAAGAGAAGAGGGAAUGACUCCACCUCCCCUGGAGAGAUGGAAAGGCCAAGAAGAGAAAGGGACCAAAAGAAACACGCUCCAAUGCACAGGAUGGCAAAGCGCUGCCUGGACCGAAGUGCCUUUAGUACCAAGGUCAGGAAACUCUGGGAAUAAGCAGCCACAGGCCCUGCAUUGUCGGGGAGUGCUGACUUUCAAACAUCCUCUUCACAGCAUGUGCUCCAUGUUAUAAAGGAUUUAUUUGAGGCCGGCUUGCAGUUUGGGGUCCAUUAUCAUCAUGGCGGGAAGCGAGGUGGCGUGCAGACAGACACGGUGCUGGAGAGGCAGCUGAGAGUUGUGACAUCGGGCUGGCUUGAGCAUCCGAAAUCGCAAAGCCCAGCCCCUGGUGACACAUCUCCCCCAACAAGGCCACGCCUCAUGAUAGUGCCACUCCCUGUGAGUCUGUGGGGGACAUUUUCAUUCAAACCACCACACCUAUCAUUCAUUAGGUACCGUGUUCAAACCCCAGCACCAGAAAGAAAAAGGAAAAAGAGAAAGGGAAACCAACCACCACCACCCUUAAUAUCCACAAAAAGCUUACAUGUUUUUGCUGAUUUCAUCUAUGGCCAAGCCUGCUUUUGACAUUGAUUAAAACAAAACAAAACACCUCUAUACCGACAGAUUCACAUACACUAUGCAGGCACAGAGGCGUUUUGUACAUACAUCCUCUUUUUCAAUACAUCUUCUGGUUUUCCUUCAUUUCCCACCAGGGAGCCUGAUGGACGUGGCCUGGAGUUACCUUCUCCUCCUGGGCCUGGACCAGUCAUUGGCUCCACCCUCAUUGCUGUUCCUCCAUGCUCUACACUCAGAAGCCUGUGGUGCCCAGCAUGUUCCAGCAUAUGAAAGUUAUGUGCUCACCUUGACCCUUGAUGAGAAUUAGAGCUGACAGGUUUCUGGAACACACACACACACAGGCUUUGCAUCUUGCUCUCAUGGAAACUGAUGAGUUAUGAAGUCAGUGAAAAUCUACUUGACUGAACCCCAUGUUUUUCCUUCACGGUGCCUAUUUUCCCCUUCCUCAGCCCAGUGUUCACUUUACUGUUUGGUUAUGAGGUCAGUUGGAAAAGCUGCAAUUAGACAAUAGAGCUGGUGCAUUUAACAGCUCUCUCUCUUAAGCUUUGACUUCUGGGCUGUUACUUUCCUGGGGCUAGAUCUUCUUCUAAGCUGUUAGGGGAAGUGAGGGAAGGCAGGAGCAGGCUCUCCUCUCCAGUCACCACAUCUCGUGUCCCAUACGCCACUGUGAGUCCUCUGUGCUCAUACAGAAAAGGCCGUCAUUCUUAAACUUCAUAAGAUCAAAUUAAAUCCCCCCAAAGUACGUCAACAAUUGCUCAAGGAGAGAGGAAGACAGACAGAGAGAGAGAGAGAGAGAGAGAGAGAGAGAGAGAGAGAGAGAGAGAGAGAGUUCAUUCAUUAUAGUUUGACUGAACUUCUUUCAGCUUCCUUUGAAAAUGUUGCAGAAAAGAAAAUAAUAACUGCCAGGAUAUGGUGGUGCAUGCCUCUGAUACUGGCACUUGGGAGACAGAGGCAGGUGGAUCCCUGAGUUUGAAGCCAACUUGGUCUGUAGAAUGAGUGCCAGGACAUCCAGAGAUGCACAGAGAAACCCUGUUUUGAAGCAGUAAAAAGGAGAGAGAGAGAGAGAGAGAGAGAGAGAGAGAGAGAGAGAGAGAGAGAGAGAAAGCUAAAAUUGAUUUUUCUAAACUGCCUACUCUGUGCCUCCCACGUCCCCAAAAACUUCACUCCUGCUCCUUCUGUGAAGUGGUGGCCAGCUGGCUAAGUCUACCCAUGCAGUUGUCCUCUCCUCCUGCCUGCCCCCUCCCCCUGCCCCCACUCUUUGAGACUGCAUGUCCCCAAGUUGUGUGAGUAUAUGAGAUCUGUGCCUGUUGGCCAGCAAACCUUUGUUUUCUCACUCUUCUAGAUCCUGUUGUGUGUGUUACUGCUUCCAGUUAGCCCUUUUAAUUUCGCUCCCUUGUGACUUCAAUUUCUUUAUAUAUUUGCUAUAUCUCUUAGGCUUCUUUUUCAAGUAGUUGUUUUUGAAAAUGUGCUCACUCAGUCUGUAUCCAGGUUGGCCUGGACCUCUUGGAAAGCCAUCUUGUUGUGUUCAUAGUAUGCACAGCCCUGUAAGAGUAGCUUCAUUUUAGCGAUAUGUACUUCUGUAGCCGGAGUUUUCCUUGUCCUGCCAGGUCCCGCCGCCCUUCUCAGCCCCAAAUAAACACACAGAGAUGCUAUAUUAAUUAUUAAACUGUUGGCCAAUAGCAAAGGGCUUCAUAUUGGCUAGCUCUGUCUUAAUUAUGAACCCAUAACUACUAAUCUAAGUAUUUCCAUGUGGUCUUAUCUUACCAGAGAAGGGUUCAGACCUGCUACUCCUUCCUCGGCUACACUACAUCUCUUUUUGGUGGUCUCUCCCUGCCUACCUUUCCCAGAAUUCUCCUCGUCUCCUGGUCCCGCCUACCUCUAUUGGCCAAUCAGGGUUUUAUUCAUCAACCAAUAAGAGAAACAUAUACAGAAGGACAUUCCCCCAUCACUCUUCAGUCCAUUCCUUUUCCUCAUUUGAUGGCUGUGGGGUUUAAAAGAAAAUGCCCUCCCAGAGGGACCGGCACCAUUAGGAGGCAUGGUUUUUUUGGAGUGGGUAUGGCCUUUGUUGGAGGACGUGUGUUACUUUGGAGCUGGACUUUGGGGUCUCCUAUGCUCAAGCUCAGUGUGACACACAGACCACUUCCUGUUACCUGCAAGCCACGAUGUAGGACACACGGAGGCUCCUUCUCCAGCACCACGUCUGCCUGCACGCUGCCUUGCCACCUGCCAUCAUGAUAAUGGACUAAACCUCUGAAACUGUGAGCCGCCACCUCAAUGAAAUGUUUUCUUUUAUAAGAGUUGCUGUGGUCUGGGUGUCUCUUCACAGCAAUAGAAACCCGAAAUAAGAAAAUAGCCUACUAAUUUUUAGCUCCUUUAUCGCCUCAUUUUCCACAAGAGGUCUUGGAACGUUUUGACUUCAUGGACAAAGUGGCCAUCCACGUGGAGGUCAUUAUAUGGACAUAGUUCGAAUUUUUUAGGGUAAUUGGGAUCAUAUCAUUUAUUUAUGUUUAAUUCUGCAAGAAAUUGCCAAAAAUGGUACUGGUGAUGGAGCCGAGAUCCUUGGACAUGUUUCUCUGAAGUAUAUAGCCUACCACCCUUUUAUAUCUCUUAAAAUUUUUGAGACAGGGUCUUGCUAAGUUGCCUAAGAUGGUCUUUUACUCACACUGCAGCCUAAGCAGAAUUUCCUCUUACAGUAUUUCUUGCUCUGGCCUCAGGUCUGUGCCAAGUCCUCCUUUUUUGUCAAAGGUCAAUAUUUAUGUAUAUGAACCCUCUGCUUCACUGGUCUAACUUUUUUUUAUUGUUCUUGUCUUGGGAGCUGUAGUUUUUUGUUGUUGUUGUUCGUUUGUUUGUUUUGUUUUGUUUUGUUUUUUUCGAGACAGGGUUUCUCUGAGGUUUUGGAGGCUGUCCUGGCACUCACUCUUGUAGACCAGGCUGGUCUCAAACUCACAGAGAUCCACCUGUCUCUGCCUCCCGAGGGCUGGGAUUAAAGGCGUGUGCCACCAAUGUUGGGCUGGGAGCUGUAGUUUUAUAUUAAGUCUUGAAGUCGAAUAGUGCCAACCCUCCAACUUUUGUUCUUUUUCCUUGGUAUUGUGCUUACUAUUCUGGGUCUACUGCUUACUCAUCAACUUCAGAACUAAUCUAUCAAUAACCCAAAAUAAUUGGUCAGUAUUUAAAUUUAGAUUACAGUGAAUCUUAACAUCAAAUUGGGAAGAACUGACAUCUUAAUACUAUUGGGACUUCCUAGACACAAACAUGGAAUAUCUCUCCAUAUAUUUAGUUCUUCCUUGAUGUCUUCAACCAGUUUUGCAGUCUUCCUUGUGCCAAUCUUGUGCAUGCUUUGUUAAGAUUUAUACGUUAAGUCUUUUAUAUCUUAAUGUAAAUGGCAUUGUGUUUUGUUUUUGUUUGUUUGUUUUGUUUCUUAAUUUUUUUGAGACAGGGUUUCUCUGGGUAGCCCUUGCUGUCCUGGAACUAGCUCUUUGUAGACUGAGCUGGUCUCAAACUCACAGAGAUCCACCUGCCUCUGCCUCACAAGUGUGGGAUUAAAGGUGUGGGCCACCACAGCCUGGCUGGCACUGCAUUUUAAAAUUCAAAUUCUCAGCAAUCUUUGUGAGCCCUAUUUUAUAAAGUUUUAAAAUCUCAGAAUUUUCUCAUUCUCUAAUCAGAUAGCUGUGCACUUUCAACUUUCACCCAAAUAACUGAUCAAAUAACUUUCAUCAAAUAACUGAUGAAAGUGUAAGAUAAAUGAGAACUGAGGUCUCAUCUCAGAGGCCAUCUCUUUAGACUCCAAAUAAUUCUCAAGUUUAAAUCCUUCAUCCAAAACUAGGAAAUUAAAUGUAUUAUUUAGGAACUUGGUGACCCUGUCACCACAGCUCUCACUUUCAAGGGAAGAGUAUCUCUUUUCCUUUACUUCCUAAAAUUGACAUUUAAUUUUCUAGGGAUAACUGCCAAUUUUUCCCCUCUGUAUCCAUACUCCCAUCUCUUAAUGGAUGAAAAUGUUCCCACUAUAAACUCAGAAACAACCCUAGGUGUUGGGGAAAUGGCUGAGUGUGAAGGCUCCUGCUAGUCAAGCAGAAGGGGCUGAAUUAGGGCCUCAGCCACUACAUAAAAAGCCAGGCUUUGUAGCUUGCAUUUGCAAUCCUAGCCUUGGGAGGUAGGAACAGGAGGACAGGGGCAGUGGGGACUGGCCAGUUAGUCUAACCAAUUGAUGAGCUUCUGUCUCAAUGAGAGACCCUGUCUCAAACAAACAAACAAAUACAUAAAUAAAUAAAUGAGGCAGAAUAACAGAGGAAGACAGGCGAUCUCAGCCUCUCACCAUCAUACAAACACACACACACACACACACACACACACACACACACCGCUUACAAAAAUAAAUUGUACCUUCUUGUUGUUCUUUGGCAGUCCUGUCCUUAGCUGUAGUAGAUCAAGCGAGUCCUCACCACCCUUGCCAUGUACUGGGUUUUUUUAAGCUUGGUCCUAGCACAAGCAACUAAGCAACUUUCCUUCUCUUGGUGUUGAGUUCAUGUUUCUUGACAUCUGAACCCGCUUCUGUAGUCCAGUAAGUGACUGUCCCUUUAGCGGGUCCUAGAGCUGCCACUCACAAUUGCUUGUCUGCUUGGGUUACCAUUAACCACUGUCCCUUAGUUCCUGCCGCCACAACUCAGUCUGCACAGCACCUACACGUCACCUCUCUUCUGAACUUCCAAAGUACUGAAGGAAGACCUGCCUUGUCAGCCACACCCCCUCACCAGGCAGUGGGCUGCCUGGACAUUGACCCUCCCCAAACAAUCAUCUUCACCCCAGCAGUCUGCGUAGCCCAGGUGCACCCAGCAGACUGUCUCGUCCUGUGGAAUCCAGAGACUUCUAGGAGACAGGCCCUGGGAGGUCAACAUCUCUUAUUUAACUAAUUGUACAGCUAUACAAAAAUUAUGCAAAAUAAUUUAACCUGUACCUGAGCAUCCCUAUUAAAUGCCCAACAAUUAUUUUUAAAAUUCUGAUUUUCACAUUUUCAUUUGACCUGGACCAUAUACAGCUUCAUCAAAUUCCCCACCACCAAUGAUCCUCCUCAUGAACCACAGUUUUAUUCUCUUAUAAAAACAUCUCAGGAAGACUUGAGAGUCAGGCUCAGCCUGUGAGGAGAGUGGUGAACACUGUCUUCUAGCGCUCCUCUGACAGCAGCCUGAGAGCCUUCAGCACGUCCUUUUCAUGACUCAUUUCCUCAUGUGUAACACAAAAGCACGAGUCUGGUGCCAACCUGCCAUAAAAGGGGGGUUGAGAAUGCUGUUUUUGGGGCGAUCACAGCUGUAUUUCAUGGAUGGUUUUGAUCAUAAGUGUUUAGGAAAUGACACUCCAGUCUAGGGUUGGUUUGAAUAUCUUAUAUUAUUUUUGGCUUUGCUGUGAACUCUAUAGACAACAUGAUGGAAAAUCACUCCUGGUACAACAGUCUGGGCUGUAGCAUCCAUAAAAGGCAACAUGCUGGCUCACCAGAGUGGAUGAUUACAUCAUAGCCAGCCUGUGAGCUGAGCGUGCCCUCCACAUCUGAAAGCGCAUUGGCACAGAAGGGAGGGAACUCCUUUUUUCCUCUUUCACAUUUUCAUCUUGCAGGUCCUUUUUCAGGACUUCUAGCUGGAAGGCCAUUGUUUCCUCCGCCACGGGAAGAAGAUGGCAGCUCCUAACAGAAGCCUUCACAGUCCAAGAGUCACCUCCCCUGUAACUCGGAAAUCCCACAAUAGUUAAUCGGCGGAGGAUUAGCUGAGUGCUUGCUGUGUCUGCUGUGUGCUAGAUGUCGAGUCUCCCAGAAAUGGGAGGCUGAGGUAGAGCCAAAGCGCAAGUUGUUUCUAUGACAGAGUCUGAGGAAGCCUUCAAGUGAGGGGCUAGGGAUAGAGCUUGCCUAGCAUGCUUGAGGGCCCGGGUCACCUCCAGCACUUCAUAACUUGAGUGGGCCUGUGUGUAAUCCCGGCACUGGGGAGGUGGAGGCAGGAGAACCAGCAGUUCAAAGUCCUUCAGAGCUACCCAAGAGUUUGAGGCUAGCCUGGGAUAUAUGAGACCCUGUCUCAAAGCAGAGAAUUCGGAGAGCCAUGUCUGAAAAUUAACAGAGCAAAGGGACAGGGAGUCAGACAGGUGAGUAUAGAUCUGCCAGUCAUCCUGCAUCCGGGGGAGGUUCAAGACGCUUCUAUGGGAACAACCUUUCCAGUGUGCCUGACUUCUCCCCGGCGCAAGACCAGUGUGUUCCAAAGGCCACACAAAAGCUCUCCAGUGGUGUUUAAGAUCUGCUGUACGCUGAAGUGGAUGCUGAGGGGCUGAGGGGCCGGACUCGUGUGUAGGAAGACAUUAAGAAUUAAGCUUCAGCUCAGUGCUUAGCUGUGGGUGUCUGCCUCUGCUUCCAUCAGCCACUGGAUGAGGGCUCUAGGGUGGCAUGUAAGGUAGUCAUCAAUCUCAUUAUCGAGGAAGGGUAUUUAAGGUAGCCUCUCCACUAUUGCUUAGAUUGCCAGUUGGUGUCUGGAAAUCUCCUCUGGAACCCAGUUGCAAAGAGGGAGGAAUGAUGAGCAGAGAGAUCAAGACCGGGCUGGUGAAGCCCACAGAGACAGCUGACUUGAACAAGGGGGAGCGCAUGGACCCCAGACUGAUGUAUGGGAGGUCAGCAUUGGACUGAUCUAGACCCCUGAACGUGGAUGUCAGUGAGGCAGCCUUGGCACUCUAGGGGGCCUCUGGUAGUGGAUCAGUAUUUAUCCCUGGAGUAAGAAAGGACUUUGGGAGCCCAUCCCACGUGGAAGGGUGCUCUCUCCAACUGGACACAUGGAAGAGGGCCUAGGCCCUGCCCAGGAUGAUGACAGACUUUGGGGAUUCCCCCAUGGAGGGCCUUACCCUCCCUGGGGAGCAGAGGGGGG